AUACGUAGGGAGCGAGCGUUGUCCGGAAUUACUGGGCGUAAAGGGCGCGUAGGCGGCGCUUCAAGUCGUCUGUCAAAUGGGAGGGCUUAACCCUUUUUCGCAGACGAAACUGGAGAGCUUGAGAAGCAGAGAGGCAAACAGAAUUCCUGGUGUAGCGGUGAAAUGCGUAGAUAUCAGGAAGAAUACCAGUGGCGAAGGCGGUUUGCUGGCUGCAUACUGACGCUGAUGCGCGAAAGCCAGGGGAGCAAACGGGAUUAGAUACCCCGGUAGUCCUGGCAGUAAACGAUGUAUGCUGGGUGUGAGACUAGCGAUAGUUUCGUGCCGAAGUUAACGCGAUAAGCAUACCGCCUGGGGAGUACGGUCGCAAGAUUGAAACUCAAAUGAAUUGACGGGG
rnacentral:rRNA from 1 species